GGAACAGUGGCCCAUGGGGGCAAACUCUUUGCUAGAGAGUCGGGCCAAUAGCCUAGUAGGUUCGAUUCCUACCUGUUCCG
rnacentral:tRNA from 1 species